rnacentral:rRNA from 1 species
GAUGAACGCUGGCGGUGUGCCUAAUACAUGCAAGUCGAGCGAACAGACGAGGAGCUUACUCCUCUGACGUUAGCGGCGGACGGGUGAGUAACACGUGGAUAACCUACCUAUAAGACUGGGAUAACUUCGGGAAACCGGAGCUAAUACCGGAUAACAUGUUGAAACGCAUGGUUCAACAGUGAAAGACGGUCUUGCUGUCACUUAUAGAUGGAUCCGCGUCGCAUUAGCUAGUUGGUAAGGUAACGGCUUACCAAGGCAACGAUGCGUAGCCGACCUGAGAGUGUGAUCGGCCACACUGGAACUGAGACACGGUCCAGACUCCUACGGGAGGCAGCAGUAGGGAAUCUUCCGCAAUGGGCGAAAGCCUGACGGAGCAACGCCGCGUGAGUGAAGAAGGUCUUCGGAUCGUAAAACUCUGUUAUUAGGGAAGAACAAAUGUGUAAGUAACUAUGCACGUCUUGACGGUACCUAAUCAGAAAGCCACGGCUAACUACGUG